rnacentral:rRNA from 1 species
UACGUAGGGGGCAAGCGUUGUCCGGAAUCAUUGGGCGUAAAGCGCGCGUAGGCGGCUCGGUAAGUCCGUUGUAAAAGUCAAAGGCUCAACCUUUGAAAGCCGAUGGAUACUGCCGGGCUAGAAUCCGGAAGAGGCGAGUGGAAUUCCUGGUGUAGCGGUGGAAUGCGCAGAUAUCAGGAGGAACACCAACAGCGAAGGCAGCUCGCUGGGACGGUAUUGACGCUGAGGCGCGAAAGCGUGGGGAGCGAACAGG